AGCGAACGUUAGCGGCGGGCUUAACACAUGCAAGUCGAACGAGAAUGAGGGGGCAACUCCUCUAGUAAAGUGGCGGACGGGUGCGUAACACGUGGGUAAUCUACCUUCCGGCGGGGGACAACAGUCCGAAAGGAUUGCUAAUACCGCGUACGUCGGCGAGGGCUCAGGCUCUUGCCGGGAAAGAUGGCCUCUCCUUGGAAGCUGUCACCGGAAGAUGAACUCGCGGCCCAUCAGCUAGUUGGGAGGUAACGGCUCACCAAGGCGAAGACGGGUAGCUGGUCUGAGAGGAUGAUCAGCCACACUGGGACUGCGACACGGCCCAGACUCCUACGGGAGGCAGCAGUGGGGAAUAUUGGGCAAUGGGCGAAAGCCUGACCCAGCCA
rnacentral:rRNA from 1 species